rnacentral:miRNA from 15 species
ACUGUAAAUUGUAACCAUCAAAGC